UACGUAGGGUGCAAGCGUUGUCCGGAAUUAUUGGGCGUAAAGAGCUCGUAGGCGGUCUGUCACGUCGGCUGUGAAAACCCGGGGCUCAACCCCGGGCCUGCAGUCGAUACGGGCAGACUAGAGUGCGGUAGGGGAGACUGGAAUUCCUGGUGUAGCGGUGAAAUGCGCAGAUAUCAGGAGGAACACCGAUGGCGAAGGCAGAUCUCUGGGCCGUAACUGACGCUGAGGAGCGAAAGCGUGGGGAGCGAACAGG
rnacentral:rRNA from 1 species